AAAAUUCUCUGUGAAAUCCGAUGUCUUCAGAUUUGGUGUGCUUUUGUUGGAGAUUGUAAGCGGCAGAAGAAACAAAGGAUUCUGCCACCCAAAUCAUCACCAUAACCUUCUCGGACACGCAUGGUUGCUUUGGAUUGAAGACAAAGCCAUGGAACUCGUUGAUGAAUGCUUGCUUGAUUCAGUGGAACCUCAAGUACAAAGAUGUAUACAUAUCGGCUUGUUAUGUGUGCAUAAGUUCCCCAACGAUAGACCAGCGAUGUCCUCUGUAGUCACCAUGUUAGGAAAUGAAAGUGCAAGCUUGCCUCGACCUAAGCAGCCUGGUUUCUUUAUGGAAAGAAGUUCAAUGGACUUAAGCGCAACCCCAGCACAUGAAGAACUCCAUUCUAUUAAUGCAGUCUCGAUGACAACGUUGGAUGGUCGGUAGUGUAACUUUGUGAGGAAAUCCAAAUAGAUCUGAGAAAUGUCAUUAAUCGUUUAUCUCAAUUAUUUUCCAAGACUUCUUAAUUCACGAUCAAUGUAUGCUGGUCCAAAAAACCAUUGACCACAGAGGUGUGAUCAAAUCGGCAGAAUUUUUUUUCC